rnacentral:rRNA from 1 species
AACGAACGCUGGCGGCAUGCCUAACACAUGCAAGUCGAACGAGACCUUCGGGUCUAGUGGCGCACGGGUGCGUAACGCGUGGGAACCUGCCCUUAGGCUCGGAAUAACUCCCCGACAGGGGUGCUAAUACCGGAUAAUUUCUUCUGACCAAAGAUUGAUCGCCCUUGGAUGGGCCCGCGUUGGAUUAGCUUGUUGGUAGGGUAAAAGCCUACCAAGGCGACGAUACAUAGCUGGUCUGAGAGGAUGAUCAGCCACACUGGGACUGAGACACGGCCCAGAAUCUUACGGGAGGCAGCAGUGGGGAAUAUAGGACAAUGGGGGAAAGCAUGAUCCAGCAAUGCCGCGUGAGUGAUGAAGGCCUUAGGGUAGUAAAGCUCUUUUACCCGGGAUGAUAAUGACAGUACCGGGAGAAUAAGCUCCGGCUAACUCCGUG